rnacentral:lncRNA from 1 species
CAUAUUUGCAAUGAAGAAAAAUAUGAGUUAGAGCUCUAAAAACAUUUGGAAAAUGCUGCUUCUGAUGAAGGGAGCUGACAUUCUUGCUCUUGAGUGUUUACAAAAUGCUUACCGUACAACAAAUCCAUGAGUUAGAAGUGUCCGGAUGUUUAUCCCAAUUUUACAGAUGAAGAAAUUGAGGCUUAAAGAGGAUAAGUAUCUUAAGACCAUGAUCUCACAACUAGGAACUGAAAGAAGUAGAUCCUCAAAACAUAAUUUUGGCUUAAGAAAUUCUUAAAAUACAAGUUGAGAGUGCCUGCACAUUUUUUGAAGUUUUAAAAGAUGAAUUAGGUUUUAGAGUGUAACAGACAUAUCCAAUAGCAAGGACUCCAUUUCCCAGGAGACUAUGUAUCCAGAGGACCAACAUUUUUGGAAGGGGAACAAGGGCUCUUGGAGGAAGAAGGCGACCAGCAGGUUUGACCUGUUUUCAAGUCACUACUCUCUAGAGACUACAGUCCUUCUAAGAUGUCCCAUAAGUGAAGAUUUAUAGAACCUGAAGAAUGUUUCACAAGAGUAGUAUGUGCAAAUGGCCAUACCAUAGAGAAUUUCAUCGGCUUAUUUGGCACUUAUAUUAUUAAAAAUAAUAGUUCACCUUUUUAUGCUUUGCAGUUUACAGAGCACUUCCUUAAAUCCUUUGAAGUAAUCCUGUUUUGUUCUUGCUGGAGAUAAUCUAUGAUUUCAUUUCAUAAAUGUGGAGCAGUCUCAAGUGAAAAAACUUUCUCUACAAAUGCUAAUUAGUAUCUGCUCUGGAAUUUAAGGGUCUUAGCAAGUUGUCUGGAGCACUAAGAGAUUAAGUGACUUGCCAAGGGUCACACAGGCAGUAUAUGUCAGAGGCUGGCCUUGUGGGCUCAAUCCCAAGUGUUCUUCACUGUAAGGCUUCCAC